rnacentral:rRNA from 1 species
UACAGGGGGUGCAAACGUUGCUCGGAAUUAUUGGGCGUAAAGCGCGCGUAGGCGGCUACCUAAGUCGGAUGUGAAAGCCCCUGGCUUAACUGGGGAAGUGCACCCGAAACUGGGUAGCUAGAGUGCAAAAGAGGGUCGCGGAAUUCCCGGUGUAGAGGUGAAAUUCGUAGAUAUCGGGAGGAACACCGGUGGCGAAGGCGGCGACCUGGGUUGACACUGACGCUGAGGCGCGAAAGCCAGGGGAGCGAACGGG